rnacentral:rRNA from 1 species
UACGUAGGGGGCGAGCGUUGUCCGGAUUUAUUGGGCGUAAAGAGCUCGUAGGCGGUUUGGUAAGUCGGGUGUGAAAUCUCCACGCUCAACGUGGAGGGGCCACUCGAUACUGCCAUGACUCGAGUCCGGUAGAGGAGUGUGGAAUUCCCGGUGUAGCGGUGAAAUGCGCAGAUAUCGGGAAGAACACCUGUGGCGAAGGCGGCUCUCUGGGACGGUACUGACGCUGAGACGCGAAAGCGUGGGUAGCAAACAGG